AAAAGAACUUUGAAGAGAGAGUUCAAAAGGGCGUGAAACCGCUUAGAAUAAAACGGACGGAGCCGUCAGGAACCGUCGAGACUCAGUCGUCUAGUUGUAGGCGAAAGUGCCGCGUUCGAUGAACGUAAAAGUCGUCGUCGCGGUAUUAGUCAGCCGAUAGUCGACGCAUUUCUCGGCGGUAAGCACUGCAACCGAUACGAAAGGCUAACGAGGUGAUCGUAUUGAGGUCUAGUUUCUUCGGACGCUAGUUACCAGUAUGAUCGCGCUUUAAUCGUUGGACCGCAGUAUGUAUCGAGCGCUAAACGAAAGACUAAUACGUCGACCGCAAUGGUUCGUCGAACGGUGGAUAAUCGGCUAGUCGAUCGGUUGCCUGCUCGCAGGCGUCGGUCGUCGUUCGAGUCGAUUCAGAAGCCGUCGGCGACUCGACGUAUAGGCGUUAGCAGUGUCAGAGUCGGUCACCCGUCCGACCCGUCUUGAAACACGGACCAAGGAGUCUAACAUAUGCGCGAGCCAAUGGGUGGAAAACCUAAAGGCGUAAUAAAAGUAAAAGUCAUCUUUUAGAUGGCCUAGGUACGAUCCUAGUUUCUACAACUGGGCGCAGUACCGUCUCAUCCCUAAGGCACGUCCUAAGGGUGAAGAUAGAGUGCAUACGUUGGGACCCGAAAGAUGGUGAACUAUGCCUGAGCAGAGCGAAGCCAGAGGAAACUCUGGUGGAGGUUCGUAGCGGUUCUGACGUGCAAAUCGAUCGUCAGACUUGGGUAU
rnacentral:rRNA from 1 species